UGAAGCAGAGGGCGGAACAGGCGGCCGCCACCCACCAAUUAUCUGGUGUAGGAGAUGUGGAUUGUCACCCACCUACUUCA
rnacentral:ncRNA from 1 species